CUGAAAGGAGGGGUCCAGGGUGUGAGGGGCUGGAUUCAGGCAGGGUCUUUCGCUGUGUUGCCAGGGCUAGAAUACAGUGGCACAAUCAUAGCUCACUGCAGCCUCAACCUCCUGGGCUCAAGCAAUCCUCCUGUCUCAGCCUUCAGAGUAGCCAGGACUACAGAAAUGUGUCCUAUGAACAGCUGAUUUUUUAAAUUUUUGUAGAGAUGGGAGUCUUGCUAUGUUUUCUAGGCUGGUGUCAAACUCCUGGGCUCAAGUUGUCCUCCAGCCUCAGCCUCCCAUAGUGCUGGGAUUACAGGCACGAUGAGGUCUUUUCAUAUGAAGGCAAAGAUGACCCCCACCGUCUCUGAUCUUUUAUUGGCUUAUUACCAACUAAAGGGAGGAGGGUCUUUUCUAAUUGUUCUAAGGUCUUUCUAAGAAGGAUUCCCACUGGCUGUGCCUAUCCCUGGAUCAAUCAUUCCAGCCAGCAGGAGCUAAUGCUAAGUUUCACCAGACCAGGGGACCACCUCUGGAGCCCAAGGCAUCUUAGGCUCCUCAGAAAGAGUCUGAAU
rnacentral:lncRNA from 10 species